UACGAAGGGGGCUAGCGUUGCUCGGAAUUACUGGGCGUAAAGGGAGCGUAGGCGGAUAGUUUAGUCAGAGGUGAAAGCCCAGGGCUCAACCUUGGAAUUGCCUUUGAUACUGCGACACUUGAAUCCCAGAGAGGGUGGUAGAAUUCCCAGUGUAGAGGUGAAAUUCGUAGAUAUUGGGAGGAAUACCAGUGGCGAAGGCGGCCACCUGGAUGGAGAUUGACGCUGAGGCGCGAAAGCGUGGGGAGCAAACAGG
rnacentral:rRNA from 1 species